rnacentral:snRNA from 1 species
AGAUAGGAGGGUGAUCUGGCGGUGUCAUUGAUCACCAGGGUUGAUUUGGCAGAUCUGGCAUCUGGAUGGAUAUCCCCUUCCUCCCUUUCCUCUCUAUGUGUAUCCUUCCCAAACUAUGUGCUUGGUCAAAGAGGACAAUCUUUUCCAGUACAGGUGAACGAUUCUUUUGUCAAGGGUAUAUGAGUAUAUGUGUCCCCCCCACUGCUAGAACCUACAAACCAGUUCUCAAGAGGCAUUUUUAAAAAUUUGUGGGAUGAUAAUGGACAGCGGAGUAGUAAGAUUUGAUUGCAUCUUUC